rnacentral:rRNA from 1 species
UACGGAGGGUGCGAGCGUUGUCCGGAAUCACUGGGCGUAAAGGGCGCGUAGGCGGUUCGUACAGUCAGACGUGAAAUUCCUGGGCUCAACCUGGGGGCUGCGUUUGAUACGUGCGGACUUGAGUGCGGAAGAGGGUCGUGGAAUUCCCAGUGUAGAGGUGAAAUUCGUAGAUAUUGGGAAGAACACCGGUGGCGAAGGCGGCGACCUGGUCCGAUACUGACGCUGAGGCGCGAAAGCGUGGGGAGCAAACAGG